AGCACAGAGUGUUCUGCUCAUUCUUGGUGGGCACUCCAGCUGAACUCCACACGCCUGACUUCUCUGACUAACAGGACCUGAAGACCAUCUGUGGUGAAGAGGAACAGCCAAGAGAUAAAGUACUCGUGCAGUCGUCUGAACCUCUGAGUGGUGAGCAGUUUUUACAGCGUUCAUAAAGAUGGCUGACAAGAUCAGAGUAUCGAUGAAGCACACUGACGACUACUGUACCAUAGAAGAAUCACCACAUGGCAGUGGAGCAGAUGGCCACACAGCUCCAGUGCCUCAUGUUAGAGGAGAAAGGAGAGUCAAUCUUGUGAUGAUGCUGAAGAUCUUUGGUGUUCUCCUAGUGGCCGGCCUCAUAUCCCUUUCUGUUUACUAUUUCAUAAAAUUAAAUCACAUGGAGCAAGAGCUGGAGGAGUUAAGAAAUGUAAAUUACAUCUUGACCAGUAACUACACUGAACUACAAGAGAGCCAAGAUACCCUGCAGUCUCAGUACGCAACUCUGAAUGAGAAACUUGAUGAACUGACCAAAGUGUUCAGUGAUCUGAACGAAUUCUACUGCGAUGCUACAAACACGUCUCCCGAUAACACUUACUCUGUUUGUAAACCGGGUUGGGUCUUCUUCAGUUCCAAGUGUUACUUCAUCUCCACUAAUAUUCAGACCUGGAAGGAGAGCCAGGAUUGGUGUGAAACAAGAGGAGGACGACUAGUGAAUAUAGAAAGUUCUGACGUGCUGGACUUUUUAAAAAGGAAAGCUGCUGUCACUCAAAGAUAUUUUUGGAUUGGCCGAUAUAACAUCAGUAAAGAAAACAAAUCUACCAGGAUGGACGCCGGACCUGUGAAAUCCAAGAGAGCCAGCGAUGACGACAAAGAAGAGUGUUUGCUGAUAAAUCUGCAGAAGAACUUGGUGUUUAACUACAGCUGUGACCAUCAUUUUUACUGGAUCUGUGAGUCUGCUGCGUUUCCUCUUCGUACUUAAACUGCUAUCAAGAGUUCCAGUCACCUGCCAGAGCCGCUGUCUUCAGGAAUCGUAAGGAUCACUUCAUCAGUAAAUCAUAGAGCUGCUAGUCUGAGCCGAGUCCAGACGGUCACCUCACUUUGUCAUGUAGGUGACAGAGGUAGUGAGUGACAACAUACUCUACAUACAGGACUGGGAGGACAUGAAAGCUGACAUCUUAUUGUAAUCUCAGUGUUGGUCUGUGACUUCUUCUCAGUUCUGACUAAAUAGACCCCCGGACCCUGAACUGCACAUGCUGGUUAGAGAUAACUGAUGAAAUGAUAAAGUUUCAUUUAUAUAUGAGAAGAAAUGCACAGUUCUGAUUUUUAUAAAACAAUUUUAUAUUUGUGUAACAAGCAACACAUUCAAGUCCUUUCAGUAUUUAGUAAAAUGAAGAUACGUCACCAACCUGUGUCUGUCUUGAGUGAUGUGAUAAAGUAUUUACCCCCUUCCUGGUAUUUUCUGUUUUUACAUAUUUUACACAAUGCAUGGCCUCUGACCUUUAGAGAAAUGAAAUAUCAGAAAAAGGAGACCUGAGGAAAGACACAAUACAGUUUUUAAAUCACUGCUUUCUUUAUUCAGUGAACAAAGUUAUUAAUCCAACACCUCAGUGACCGAUGUGAAGGUGUCAUUGCAGAUCAGAGUCUCAGUGCUUGGCUGGUGCAACUUUAUCAGCAGUAAUGAGAACUAAACACUCUGUGAUUUAUAAUUUGACAUCAGACGUUCACGUUACUGUUGAGGAGUGAUAGCCCAUUGGUCUUUGCUUUCAUUCAGAUACAUUCAGAGUUUUCGAGCCUAAACUGUUCACUUCAGCACUUCUGUUAGGACAAGUUAGCAGUUUGACGAGGCUCUGAAACUCUCGGUGUCCUCUGAGCCAUUCAGCUGUUGGUUUUCUUUUUUGUGUUGUGGACCAUUGACCUGCUGUGUCAUCCAACUACACCUUAGCUCCAGGUCAUGGACAGAGGACUGGCCGUUCUUAUAAAGAAUAUUCUGGUUCUUUCAAAAUGGCAAGUCUUCACACACUGAGGCAGCAGCAAAGCCCCCUCUUCAUCACACUGCCCCCCAUGUUUUAUUGUAGGUAUGACGUUCUUAUUGUUGAAUGUUGUUACUUUACUGCAGAGCCAGUGGACAUGUGCCAUCCACAAAGUUCUUGUCUGUCUUCAUUACAAUUGGAGUGAAGAUGAUGGAGGUGACUCUGUGCAGUUCUGAGACGAGCACCAAAGCUGCUCUGGGAUAGCAGAGUUUGUCUUACUGCUCUCCCAUGAGUCCUGCUUUUAGUCUUCAUCUCGAAUAGCACAGAGUCAUGAACUCUGACCUUAGAGGAGGACAGACAGCCCUGAGGGUCUUUGGAUGUUUCUUCUGGAAUCCUCUGAGACUUCUUGACUCAGGCAUUGCUGCCCCCUAUUGGCAGGCCAGCUUUUCCUAUGUAGAUGUUGCUCUUCUCAGAAUGUUUUUGAGAUGAUGGCUGUCACUGUGGUGCCGUAGAGUCACAGACCUUAGCAAUGGCUAAUGCUUUCCUGAUUUCAUUGCGGUGACAACUUCACUGUCCUGGCAAGUGACAACAUAUGGCGAGGUUUAGAUUCAGUAAGAACUUCUAGAAACUGAACAUCACUGAACAUUUAUUUAAAUCAGAGCUGCUAUCGUGAAGACCGUUUACUACCACAUGACAUGACGUCUAUUCUGUGUUAUUAAUGUCUGAGUCUUAACACAAGUUUUAUCACUUAUGGACUCUCUUAAGCCAACUGCUGAUGAUUUGACUUUUUAAGAGUGACGUUUCUCAUUCCACUCUGUCUUUUGUGUUGAUAUUUUUAAUUCUAAUUAUUUUGAUGGUUUUCUCUUUUUUUUUUUGCUUAUGUUGCAGGUGCUGAACUCUGUAAUUUUAAUUCUCUUUAUAUUUUGAUCUUCAGUAGUUUUUAUUUUAUCAUCCAGUAUAUAUUUACACUUUUGCAGAUUUGUUCUAGGGGCUCGUCUCAGAUUGCAUUGAUCUUGAUUAGAUUUGAUCUAAUUUGAUACAUUUAAUUUAAUUUAAUCCAUUUGAUCUAGUUGAUCAUUGAUCUUACAUUGCUGUGUUUUGUUGUAUUCUUAACUUGAGAUGCUGUUCUCUGUGAUACUUUGUGCAGAAUAAAUCUGAAUUGCUUAAUAAAGUCUGUUUGACUUCCA